rnacentral:rRNA from 1 species
GCCUCCCCAGGCGGACAAUGGCCCGGCACACCAGGUGAUACCUGAGCCAUGGCGGAGGGGGCUUACUCAACGGGCGAGCGUUGAGGUUCCAGCUGCUGAUUGCCAGUCCCUCUGGUGCUUCGGGCGUCCUUCCUCUUGCCCAGGUACCUGGCGCAUGGCCCCAUGCAGCCUUGCUGUGGUUUGAAGAUACUAGUGGUCUCACCCGACCACGUCUCUGGCCCGGCUCUCAUUUCCCGCCCCCCAAAAGGGGAGCGUAGGGGGCCGGCGGAAGAAUGUGUGAACCGGCCGACCCCUAAGUGCCUAAGUGGGGAAGCUGGAUGGGGGGGCUGUGUCGCUAGAGGCAGGACAGGCGGUGCUGCCUCCCUCCGGCCUCUCCUGCACCAGCAGGUUCGGGCCGAUGUCUGGAAUAAAAACAAAGUUGCCUAUGAAUCUUGACGGUGGAUCAUUCGGCUUGCGCGUCAAUGAAGAGUGCAGCUAGCUGCGCGAAUUAGUGUGAAUUGCAGGACACUUUGAUCAUCGACACUUCGAAGGCACCUUGCGGGCCCGGGUUCCUCCCGGGGUGCGGCUGUCGCAGGGACCCUGUUCCCUUCAUCCCCCUAAGGUCAGACCCUGAUCAGCACCAUCGCAGGAUCCCAGGACCUGGCGCACAGGCUCAUUGCCGGUGCAUCCCGGCCUCCCCUGUUCCCCGCCUCUGGCAGGAGAGGGCCGGGAUCCCGUUGGUGGCGGGCCUUAAAGCGUGGCGCACCUCUAACCCAGUGCACCUGGCUGCGCCGCGUGUGGCUGUCUGUGGUGUCCCAUGGCUGCCAGUGCGGAACGGCCCUGGAGCGUGGGCCUUGCUACCAUGUGGGCUUCGGCCACAGACCGGGACAGCGCACACUCGGCUGCGCUAUGCCCAGUGGGCCACUUUUGGUAAGCAGAACUGACGCUACAGGAUCAACCGAACGCCGGGUUAAGGCGCCCGAUGCUGACGCUCAUCAGACGCUAGAAAGGGUGUUGGUUGAUAUAGACAGCAGGGCGGUGGCUAUGGAAGUCGGAAUCUGCUAAGGAGUGUUUAACAACUCACCUGCCUAAUCAACUAGCCCUGAAAAUGGAUUGCGCUGGAGUGUGGGGCCAUACGCGGCGGGCGCUGAGAGGCGCCGAGGCUAAGCCAGAGUAGGAGGGCGCACCAAAACCCAUGGCGAGGGCCCUGGUGGAGCCGCCACAGGUGCAGAUCUUGGUGGUAGUAGCAAAUAUUCAAACAAGAACUUUGAAGGCCAAAGUGGCGAUGGGUUCCAUGUGAACAGCAGUUGAACAUGGGUCAAUCGAUGGAUGAGUGCUGUUCGGAAGGGACAGGCGAUGGCCACCGUUGCCCUCGGCAGAUCGGAAGGGAGUCAGGUUCAGAUCCCAGACCCGGAGUGGCAGAGACGGGCACCCUUGCAGCGACGAGUGUGCAACGCAAACAAUCCCAGAGAACCCAGCGGGAUCCCCGGGGAGAGUUCUGUUUUCUUUGUGAAGGGCACGGCAUCCUGGAAUGGGCUUGCCCCGAGAGAAGGGCUCGAGUCUUGGAAAGCGUUGCGGAUCGGCAGCGUCUGGUGAGCUCUCGCUGGUCCUUGAAAAUUCGGGGGAGAUGGUGUAAAUCUCGCGCUGGGCCGUACCUAUAUCCGCAGCAGGUCUCCAAGGUGAACAGCCUCUAGCAUGUUGGAACAAUGUAGGUAAGGGAAGUCAGCAAGUCGGAUACGUAACUUCAGGAUAAGGAUUGGCUUCAAGGGCUGGGUCAGUUGGGCUGGGGAGCGAAGCAGGGCAGGCUGCGAGCUGCAGCUGGAGGAGGCGUUGCCCCCUCAAAGCCCUCCCCUCCCUGGCGGCACAGACUCUGGAUUCGAACCGGGUCCUUCUUGUGGAUCGCCACAGCUGCAGCAGUUGCCACUCUCCGUUCACCUCCCGGGGUUCGUGGCCGGUGUUCUGCCUCGGCUGAUGCCUAGUAGCUGACUUAUAACUGGUGUGGCCCAGGGGAAUCCGACAUUGGCCCACAGUGGGUGUUGACGCAAUGUGAUUUCUGCCCACUGCUCUGAAUGUCAAAGUGAAGAAAUUCAAUGAAGCGCGUGUAAACGGUCGGAGUAACCAUGACUCUCUUAAGGUAGCCAAAUGCCUUGUCAUCUAAUUAGUGAUGUGCAUGAAUGGAUGAACGAGAUUCCCACUUUCCCUACCUACUAUCUAGCAAAACCACAGCCAAGGGAACUGGCUUGGCAGAAUCAGUGGGGACAGAAAACCCUGUUGGGGUUCACCCUAGUCUGUCACUGUGAAGAGACGUGAGGGGUGUAGGAUAAGUGGUAGGCCCUCAGGCCGCUGGUUAAAAAUCCACUAUUAUUGUUUUUUCACUUAUCUGGCGGGGCGGCAAGCCCCAUGGGGCUCUCGCUUCUGGCUCCAAGCUCCCGCCGGGCGCGACCUGCUCUAGGGACAGUGGCAGGUGGGCAAUUUGACUGGGGCAGUACACCUGGCAAACGAUAACGCAGGUGUCCUAAGGCGAGCUCAGGGAGGACCGAAAUCUCCUGUGGAGCAGAAGGGUAAAAGCUUGCUUGAUCUCAAUUUUCAGUAUGAAUACAGACCGUGAAAGUGGGGCCUAAGGAUCCUUCUGACAUUUUGGGUUUCAAACAGGAGGUGUCAGAAAAGUUACCACAUGGAUAACUGGCUUGUGGUGGCCAUGCGUUCAUAGCGACGUCUCUUUUUGAUCCUUUGAUGUUGGCUCUUCCUAUCAUUGUGAAACAGAAUUCACCAAGCGUUGAAUUGUUCACCCACUAAUAGUGGUCAUGAGAUGGGUUUAGACCGUCGUGUGACAGGUUAAUGUUACCCUACAGAUGAUGUGUUGUUGCAAUAGUAAUCCUGCUCAGUAUGAGAGGAACAGCAGUUUCAGACAAUUGGUGUAUGUGCUUGGCUGAGCAGACAAUGGGGUGAAGCUACCAUCUGUGGGAUGACUGAAUGCCUCUAAGUCAGAAUCCCCCCUUAACCGUAACGAUACCGCAGCGCUGUGGGGCCUCAGUUGGCCUAGGAUAUCCGGCCUCUGGGCUGAUGCGUAUAGCCGCUCGCCUCGGGACUCUAGUGUGGACAGAAGGGUGCCUCCUCAGGCUGGUAGUGCACCACUUGUUCGUGGGGAACCAGGUUCUAAAUUAUUUGUAGAGACCCUGAUUCUGUGUCAGGGGUUCGUAGUAGCAUAGCAGCUACCUCG